CAGCUUAGAGUUUCAUUUUAAGUUCAGUCAUAUGAGUUCAAAAAUACAUAUUACCCAAGGUAUUAUUCGAAUGAAGUAUGAUGGAAUAUAAUUUACUUGAUUGACACUCGAAGAUUAGGUGUACAUGUAUUCUUUCGUUGAACUCUCUGUCUUAUCAGACAUUAAAAGCUCAAUGGAGGCAAGCCCUGUAUGUCAAAUUGAGGUCUCCAGUGGAUUGAUUGUAGUCUAUUAGUAAGAAGCUAAAUCUUCAAGUUGAAGUCUUCAAUACUAAGUCAAGUUGAUUUCGUCAAGUCCACUAGAUCAUCGACUUGAAAUAUUCAAACCUGCUAGGCCUUGAAGUUGAUGUCUUCAAGUUCAUCAAGUCAUCGAAUUCGCCAAAUCUUCAAGAAGUUUUCAAUUCUAGGAAGUCUUCAAAUUAAAUCAUAAAGUUAAAGUCUUCAGAUCGCCAAGUCAAGUUAAGGCCUUCGAAUUCACCAAAAGUUGAAGUUUUCAAUUCUGAAAAAAUUUCAAGUUGAAUCAUCAAGUUAAACUUUUUAAAUUCACUAAGUGUUCAAGUCGAAGUCUUCAAAUCCGUCAAGUCUUCAAGCAGAAGCCUUCAAGUCUGUCAUGUCUUCAAGUUGAAAUCUGCAAGUUAAAUUCUUUUAAGCACCAAGUCUUCAAUUUAAAGCUACUCAGAAGCCGCCAUAAUAGUUUUGAAGUCUUCAAAUUGAUAUAGCCUUCAAUUCUUUAGUUGGAAGUUUAAGCAUAUCUCCAAGUGUAUCGUAGAAACCUUUGAUAUAGUCUACACCAUCUUUAAAAAUAUUUAUAUCUUGAAUUCUUUGAAGGAAGGUUUUAAUAUAUCUUCAAAUCUUCAAGUAAAAGUAUUUAAAAUGUUGGCUUGCAUGACUUGAUUUAUGUCGGAGAAAAUUGAUUCUUUGAUUGUGAGGUUUUCUUUGCUAAAACGGUGUAGUUUGAAUUGAUUUCUUGUUCUACCUGCAAAAGAAAAGGGAGAAAGAAUAUCUAUAUAAAGGAGAUCAUAAAAUACCUGUGAAGAUUGUAAUUUAAGAGAUAUUCUUGGUGGUUAGAUUUUGACAAAAAUCAUGCUUCAUACAAUCUCUAGUUCGUGUAUCUCAAAAUGAGGACGGGUUUUCAUUCCUUUGCGUCAAAAGGUCAAAUCUUUUGACAGUAAAGUAAAGUCUGCAAGUUAGACUAUAUAAUGGUCUUCGCUAGUCUUUGUAUUUGACAAAAUAUAGUCUUCAGCUUAGACGAUGUAAUGUUCUUAGCCUCGGACAAAGUAAAGUCUUCAGCUUAGAUGGUUGUCUUCGCCGGGACAAAAAAAAUAUAGUCUUCAGCUUAGAUGCUGUAAUGGUCUUAGCCUCAGACAAAGUAAAUUCUUCAGCUUAGAUGGUUGUCUUCGCCCGGGACAAAAAAUAUAGUUUUCAGCUUAGACGGUGUAAUGGUCUUAGCCUUGGACAAAGUAAAGUCUUCAGCGUAGAUGGUUGUCUUCGUCUUGGACAAAAUAUGGUCUUCAACUUAGACCGUAUAAUGGUAUUCGACUAGGACAAAGUAAAAUUUUUGACUUAAACGGUGUAAUGAUCUUAGCCUCGGAUAAAGUAAAGUCUUCAACUUAGAUGGUGUAAUUAUCUUCGAAUCAGACAAUAUAAAGUCUCCUCCUUAGACAGUGUAAUGGUCUUCAAGUUAAGUCUUUGUGUUGAGACUGUGUAAAAUCUUUGGCUUGUACGAAGUAAUGCCUUCAACUCAUACGGAGUAAUGUCCUCCCCGCAAUGAGUAAAUUCUCGGACGGAGUAAAUCUUAGCACCACUUUACCAUUGACUUCUUCUCCGAAAGAUUUCCCCCAUCAUAUUUGUUGUUUUCUUGAAUUCUGGUCCGAAAAGGUGGGAGGAGCAAAUAAGAAAGAUAGUGAAAGGAGGUAAGUUACCUGUCCAAUUGCAAAGGAACGAAGACCAACACUCUAAAGUUACUACUUUCUGUUCUGGUUGCCUGCCAAAUACAAAAAGCAGAGAAAUUUGAUGUAACUAUUUGGUUUUACUUAGUGGGUGGUUACUGUAAUGAUUGCAGAUUACAAUACUCCUUAUGUGUACAUCAAAACAAGCUAAAUUUCAUAGCAAUGGUUGCUGACGCAUCCCUGUACUCUGUAGGAUGUAAUAUCCAAUGAGCAGUUCCAUGUUUUUAGAUAAUGCAGAUGGGAGAACUCAAAAUAAUUCAUGACAUGUCAAGCUGCCUCAUGAAAAUAUUAUGAAAAGAUCGAAGCCUAAGUAUGAUCAGUAAGAAAAAAAAAUGGAAAAGAAAGAGCUUCUGGUCAGUAUCCUAUGCUUAGUAUUUGUAGGUUGGAAGUGCAGAAAGCUAAAAAUAUUCCAUAACAGCUAUUGCACGAAUUCAUCUCAUUCUCUCAGAUUUGAUAUGUGACGAUCUCCAUAUGUUCCUAUGAGAUUCAAAAGGUUGCGUUGAAGUGGAUGUCAUCAACCAAAACAUGUGAAUCAAGAUAUAAGGCUAAGAUUUCUGGAGAAAAGGAGAUUAAAUAUGCUGGCCAUGAUACUAGCUAAUUGCAAGCAAGAACAUUCUAGUGUCUCCGUAUUCUUAUGAGACUUUUAAAUUUGUUUUACUGAGACCAUCUAGCAAAUAUUUUCGUUUUCAUACAAAUAAAGUGUAAACUUUAUUUUUAUAUCAGAAAGGAUUUUUUUUAAGAAGAUUAUUCUCGGCAUGGAGAUUCUUCGCAGAAGAAAAAUAAUUCCAAUAAAAGAGAUAACCAGGCAAAAAAAUAGAAUUGACAGGCUUUGGAUUAUCUUCAUAACUAGAGUAUACAUCACGCUGAAGCAAAUGAACUCUAUGUUCUUUCAACUUUUGAUGUCAUGGUUAUAAUUAAACUGAACAUAGCUGCGAAGGGAGGUUUCAUUUCAAAGGCUAUAUACCAUGUUUAAAAUAUCAAUGCCACCAGAACUUGAAGGGAAUCAUUUUAAAUCAAAAGCAAUUUAUGAAGAAUCAACCAUGCAUCGAGAGAAUAAGAAGGAAAUUUUUAAAAAAAUCACGUGGAAAGUGAUUGCGUGGUUACAUAUAUGUAAAGCAGGAGAACCAACAGAUUCUUUCUGGGAAAGUGAAUGCUAUAUAAAGCAAAAGAAAGAAGAAUCGGUCGAGUUUACGUGAGAGAAGCUGACUGCCGAGUCAAACUUUUGUUGUAAAAGAUAUUGUUGGAAACUGGUAUUUAAAGUAGGCGUGUGCAGCUAUAUAUGAAUUUCCGUCAAUGGAAUGAACUCUAGACCAAAACAAGAUCUUUCCUUAAAAUAAGGAUUUGAGUUCAC
rnacentral:lncRNA from 1 species